GACGAACGCUGGCGGCGUGCUUAACACAUGCAAGUCGAACGGUGAAGCGCCUUCCUUUUUGGUGGGUGUGGAUGAGUGGCGAACGGGUGAGUAACACGUGAGUAACCUGCCCCCUUCUUCUGGAUAACCGCAUGAAAGUGUGGCUAAUACGGGAUAUUCUGGGUCUGUGGCAUGAUGGGUCUGGGAAAGAUAUUGUUUCGGUGGGGGAUGGGCUCGCGGCCUAUCAGCUUGUUGGUGGGGUGAUGGCCUACCAAGGCGGUGACGGGUAGCCGGCCUGAGAGGGUGGACGGUCACACUGGGACUGAGACACGGCCCAGACUCCUACGGGAGGCAGCAGUGGGGAAUAUUGCACAAUGGGCGCAAGGCUGAUGCAGCGACGCCGCGUGAGGGAUGGAGGCCUUCGGGUUGUGAACCUCUUUCGCCAGUGAAGCAGGCCUGCCUCGUUUGUGGGUGGGUUGACGGUAGCUGGAUAAGAAGCGCCGGCUAACUACGUG
rnacentral:rRNA from 1 species